rnacentral:rRNA from 1 species
CUCGUAGGCGGUUCAGCAAGUCGGUCGUGAAAGCCCGGGGCUCAACCCCGGGAUGCCGGUCGAAACUGCUGUGACUUGAGUUCGGUAGAGGUGAGUGGAAUUCUCGGUGUAGCGGUGGAAUGCGCAGAUAUCGAGAGGAACACCCGUAGCGAAGGCGGCUCACUGGGCCGAUACUGACGCUGAGGAGCGAAAGCAUGGGGAGCAAACAGGAUUAGAUACCCUGGUAGUCC